rnacentral:rRNA from 1 species
UACGAGGGGGGCGAGCGUUGUUCGGAAUUAUUGGGCGUAAAGGGUGCGUAGGCGGCCUGACAAGUCUGAUGUGAAAUCCCUGGGCUCAACCCAGGGCCUGCAUCGGAAACUGUCGGGCUUGAGUAUGGGAGAGGUGAGUGGAAUUUCCGGUGUAGCGGUGAAAUGCGUAGAUAUCGGAAGGAACACCUGUGGCGAAAGCGGCUCACUGGACCAUUACUGACGCUGAGGCACGAAAGCUAGGGAGCAACAGG